rnacentral:rRNA from 1 species
UCCUGGCUCAGGACGAACGCUGGCGGCAUGCUUCAUACAUGCAAGUCGAACGAUAAGGUCUCUUCGGAGAUACAUAAGUGGCGGACGGGUGAGUAAUAUGUAGGAAAUCUGCCCUAGAGAGGGGGACAACAGAGGGAAACUUCUGCUAAUACCCCAUAUGAGCGUAGUUGAAAUACUAUUCUUGAAAACUCCGGUGCUCUAGGAUGAGCCUGCAUCUGAUUAGCUUGUUGGCGGUGUAAUGGACCACCAAGGCGACGAUCAGUAGCUGGUUUGAGAGGAUGAUCAGCCACAAUGGGACUGAGACACGGCCCAUACUCCUACGGGAGGCAGCAGUAGGGAAUUUUGCGCAAUGGGCGAAAGCCUGACGCAGCAAUGCCGCGUGAACGUAGAAGCCCUUCGGGGUGUAAAGUUCUGUCAGUGGGGACGAAUUUUGACGGUACCCACAGAGGAAGCACCGGCUAACUCCGUGCCAGCCGCGGC